UACGGGGGGGGCAAGCGUUGUUCGGAAUUACUGGGCGUAAAGGGUCUGUAGGUGGCUUGCUAAGUCAGACGUGAAAUCCCUCAGCUUAACUGGGGAACUGCGUCUGAGACUGGCGAGCUUGAGUGCAGGAGAGGAACGCGGAAUUCCAGGUGUAGCGGUGAAAUGCGUAGAUAUCUGGAGGAACACCGGUGGCGAAGGCGGCAUCCUGGACCGGUAUUGACGCUGAGGCGCGAAAGCCAGGGGAGCAAACGGG
rnacentral:rRNA from 1 species